UACGGAGGGUGCAAGCGUUAUCCGGAUUCACUGGGUUUAAAGGGUGCGUAGGCGGGUUUGUAAGUCAGUGGUGAAAUCCCGGUGCUUAACAUCGGAACUGCCGUUGAUACUACAGGUCUUGAAUGUUGUGGAGGUGAGCGGAAUAUGUCAUGUAGCGGUGAAAUGCUUAGAUAUGACAUAGAACACCAAUUGCGAAGGCAGCUCGCUACACAAUCAUUGACGCUGAGGCACGAAAGCGUGGGGAUCAAACAGGAUUAGAAACCCCAGUAGUCC
rnacentral:rRNA from 1 species